rnacentral:snoRNA from 13 species
AACAUGCUUCCUUAGAUCCACCUUUGUGGUUGCCCACCUUGAACUGAGUUCCGCCAGUUAAACUCUUUGUUUCUGGUAGUUCCAGUCAAGAGGCAUCCGGCAACUUCUUUGGUUGUACAGUCAAAGGUGCUUGAGUCAUUGGCAUGUAAGAGAAAUAUACCUGCAUGUUAGUCAUACGUUCUGAUUGCAAGUGACAGCAGCAUUGCGUGUCAUUUCUCACGAUCAGAGCCUGACUGGUGUGCGGACACU